rnacentral:rRNA from 1 species
UUCCGGUUGAUCCUGCCGGAAGUCACUGCUAUUGGGAUUCGACUAAGCCAUGCGAGUCGAGAGGGUUCGGCCCUCGGCAAACGGCUCAGUAACACGCGGAUAAUCUGCCCUUAGGUGGAGGAUAACCUCGGGAAACUGAGAAUAAUACUCCAUAGAUCUAGGAUGCUGGAAUGCACUUAGAUUGAAAGUUCCGGCGCCUAAGGAUGAGUCUGCGGACUAUCAGGUAGUAGUCAGGGUAAAGGCCUGACUAGCCUACGACGGAUACGGGUUGUGAGAGCAAUAACCCGGAGACGAUAUCUGAGACACGAUAUCGGGCCCUACGGGGCGCAGCAGGCGCGAAACCUUCACAAUGUGCGAAAGCGCGAUGAGGGGAUCCCAAGUGCUUGCUCGUAAGAGUAAGCUGUUUUUAUGUCUAAAACGCAUAGAGAGUAAGGGCUGGGUAAGACGGGUGCCAGCCGCCGCGGUAAUACCUGCAGCUCAAGUGGUGACCACUAUUAUUGGGCCUAAAACAUUCGUAGCCGGUUUGGUAAAUGCCUGGGUAAAUCGUGUAGCUUAACUAUACGAAUUCCGGGUAGACUGCCAAACUUGAGACCGGGAGAAGCUAGAGGUACUCCUUGGGUAGAGGUGAAAUUCUGUAAUCCUAGGGGGACCACCAGUGGCGAAGGCGUCUAGCUAGAACGGGUUUGACGGUGAGGAAUGAAGCCCUGGGGCGCAAACCGGAUUAGAUACCCGGGUAGUCCAGGGUGUAAACGCUGCUUGCUUGAUGUUAGUUGGGCUCCGAGCCCAAUUAGUGUCGGAGAGAAGUUGUUAAGCAAGCUGCCUGGGAAGUACGAUCGCAAGAUUGAAACUUAAAGGAAUUGGCGGGGGAGCACAGCAACGGGUGGAGCGUGCGGUUUAAUUGGAUUCAACGCCGGA